ACCUUCGUCAGACUCUCAGCCCUGGGCCAUGGAAAGAGACGACUGGUUUGGACAUCGAGGUAAAUAUAUUGUUGUUUAAUGAUACUGUGAAACUAGAAGUACAAAUACUAACUCAUUUCUGACAUGAUAGGGCUUUCCACAGCAAAAGUACGGCAUCGACUGUGGCAUCUUCAUGUUGAUGUAUGCCCUUUACAAAGUGAUGGAUGCACCCUUUGACUUCACUGUUACUGAUAUGCCGGCAUUGAGAAAAUGGUGGUGUAUCAUGCUGAUCGAAAAUCUUGACCUUGGAAGCCAUGGCAAACUCUUUGCCCACUGUACCGACGCAUCUAAGGCUCUUCUUCGGGGUGAGGUGCCACCAGUUUUUAAACUGAAGAGAAGGCGAGAUGACAUUCAUGUGGGGCCACUUGACAACAUUGUGGCUGGAGUUGCCUGGCUGCGUCAGAAUGCAGGUUUGCUUAGGGGGAAGGUGGUCGAGCCCGCGUUUCAGAAUAUGGACGCAACCGAACAGCAGGAGCUCCUGGAAAGGAUACGUUUUUCAAAUGAUGAAGAAGAAAAGUAUCCCCUGCUCUUCACCUUUGAUUUUCAGGAAGACAUGGAGGUCUUCCUUAACAUGGCAGCUGAGGAGGAUCUUCGAGUCAACGCUGUUUCUGGGUCGCUGGGUGGACACUCAUUGACAUUGCUGUGUGUGUGUGUGUGUGUGUGUGUGUGUGUGUGUGUGUGUGUGUGUGUGUGUGUGUGUGUGUGUGUGUGUGUGUGUGUGUGUGAGUGUUCUGAAUAAAGUGUUAAAACGUUUACAAUGUAUUGAUUUUUUGUAUGACUUUACUUAUUCACUUUGGUUACACACAGAGCUAAGUUAAAACACAGACUUGAGUUUGUCGUAUUUAAAAAUGGGCAAAUAAGGUGGUCCAGCAGC